UUCGCCACGCCGCCCUCUCUCCACUUCUCCUCAACCACGCCGCCAUCUCUCCACUUAUCCUCUUCAACCUCCAAAUCCACCCUAAUCAAUCUGAUGGGAUCCCUCCAAUCCACUGGUCGCUGAUGUGCAUCGCAGUCGAUUGGCCUAGUGGGCGGGUUGACGGAGAUUCAGCAGGCGGGCGGGCGAUUGGAGGUCGUGGAGGUUGGGGGACGACGGAGUCGACCGGCCGGAGUGUGCGAUGGGGACAACGGCGUCGAUUCGGCGGGUAGGUUGAAGGAAUCAUCUGCUGCAACGAGCAACUUUGACUUCAACCUGCAGGUGGAUUAAGCAGAGCAAGCACAGAAGUACAGCCAUCCUGCCUAGGGUAGCUGCGCCCCAGAAUGCCCAUGCUGAAAAUAAUCUUCCAGUGCAACAAGGUGGUCCUGAACCAAGUUUAUGACUCACCAAGUCCCUAAGAAGAAUGCUCAUGCUCAAAACAGCAAUGCACCAAGCUACAUGGACGCUUUACUAAAACGGCUCUAUAGUUGGCUAGAGAUGAAAUAACACGUCGCUAGGUAUGAAAUUGGGCGUGUCUAUCGGUUGUUUUUGUUGUAGUG